rnacentral:lncRNA from 1 species
AUAGUAUAAAGUGAGAGGAGAUCCUCACAUAGAUUAAAUCAUUCUUUUAUUAUAACUCAUAAUAUGACAGCUCAAAUCUUAAUUGUGAAAAUAAAGAAAAAUAUGAAGUUUAAGGCUCAAAUUUUUUUGAUGAGUAUUUGAACAAUUCUGGCACAACUUUUUGAAUUUGUAUAUUACAAAUUUCUGAAUUUGGCACUAACACAAGUCUUACAAGACAAUGCUAUUACUGCCAUGUAGGAAAAAUAUUCACUCCACAUCAAUUGUUCUUCUCAUAAUUUUUGGUUUGAUUUUCUAAGAUAUAUAACUAACUGAGUAAGCCUUCCUGAUGAUGCAUAGAGUGCUUGGCACAGAACAGCCUAGCACUAUUCAAUGGAGUAUAAUUUUAAAAACUAAUAUUUGAGAAACCAGACAUGAAGCAGAUGCUCCUUGGUCAUUUAAUUCUGACAUGACAUGGCAGUAUGUAAUAUGAAAAUAAAUGAUGGUAAAUUUGCACUCCCAAUAAAUACUGAUAUACAGUUUCAAAAAAUUAAUCAAUCAAUUAAAUGGCUAUUUUUCUUUAAAAUCCACAAUUGUUUGAUAUAAUAACUCCUCAACAUUGUGCUUCAAUACAUCUCCACAACUGUGGUGAACCUGAUAUCACACUUCAUGUCAGCUAUUUUGAUAUAUCUGUCUUCACAUUCUACAACACACAAAAUUGGUCACCAAUUUGAUUAAACAAAUGAAAGAAAUAAACUUUGUGAGCAUACUACAUAAGCAUCAAACUAGUAGGAUAAUUCUUUUUGCACAAUGUGGACCCAAAUUAAAAAAAAUAAAAUAAAACAUCUCAAAUUCAAAGAAUAUGUAUAUUGGUCAAAGUAAACAUGAUGGAUCAAGAGUCCUCCACAUGGAAAAAUUCACAAAGAAGAUGUAAGUUGUUGGAGGGUGGAGGAGGAAGUUUGUCCAAGGAAUGGAACAAGGGAUGUCAUUAGGGUUAAAAGCAAACAAGGGAGCGGUGUAGUGGAUAGCAAAAUCUCCAAAACCCUUCUUCUCCACUUCAAAAAAACUUCUCUUUCAGGAACUUCCACUUCAUGAGACCUUCCAGAGAACUUUCCCCAUGUGCCCUAAAUUCCAGAUUACAUUUCUUUUAUUUUUAUUUUAUUUGUUUUUUCUUCCCACAAGCCACUUAACCUGCCACACCAACUAUGCAAGAAGAGGAAGAAGAAGAAGCAGGAAACCCAUUUGACCCCACUUGGACCACAUAGAAUUAUUUCUUCCAAAGCUGCUUCUUUUCCUGGACCCAAUUCCUCCUUGCCCAACACCCACCUAAUAAUUUAAUAAUACAAAGACACCUUGACACAACCCCCGCCCCCUCCUUUGCAGGGUGUGCAUGUGAAAAGGGGAAGUGCAUGACCGGAAGAGUGGGUAAUAUCCCGGUUACCGGUUUCCGUUUGCCCCUAGCGGCUAAACUUUCCCAUCAGGAAGACCGGCCCGGAAGGUGCCCUCGAAGCUCUGCUUGCAGGAACGAAGUCGGUGUUGUGGCAGGAAUUUUGCCCCCAUCGACUCGUGUUGUUGUUUUAUUUUAUUAUUUUGUUUUCUGUUUUUUUUUUUUUUUUUUUUUUUUUUUUUCUGUGCACGGCAGUUGCAUGGUGAGCCUGAUGCUUAAGAGGCGAAGGUUUAGUCCUCUGGUGACGAAGGCGAGUUAAAACUGGAAGUUCUGGGUGCGCGCGGCUACGGCCAGGUUUGAAAGAACACGAUCAGCUGUAGUUUGGUCAAUUGUUGGGUCGGAGUCAUUGUGUUGUGUGCAGGUCCUGUCAGCGCGCGGAAUGAUUUGGCGAAGCUUGCGAAUGGAGGCUUUCUGGGUGGGAAUUUGCAGUGAGGAGCCAAGGUUUGAGCCCAAUUUUCCAUAGGGUGGUGGCGUAGGGUACAGCAGGCGAGCGCAUGGUUGUGGGUUUGUACAUUUAGAGACGGAUUCGAUUUCUUGGGAGUGAUUCUUGCGCACUUAUGCGAAGGGCGAGAUCAGUGAUGUGUUUAGCAAGCGCUACGCCAAGUUUCGUUUUCCAGGAUUGUAAAUAGGAACUGCCGAGGUUCUUGGAUUUCUUGAGUCUGUAGGAAGUUUUUCUCGGAUUGGGAUGAGAAGGGAGCUUGUGACAGUUCGCAGUAACCUGGUUGAUAAAGUACAACGGAACAUGCUUGAUCCUUGCAUUUUCAAUGUGGCUGGGUUUGGUUUUAAGUUUGGAAUUAAGUCGUUUCGGACAGUGUUGGUUGGUUACGCAAUCGUCUAGUUGGACUGAGAGCACCAUAACUACGGCAGCGAUCGGUGUCUUGUCGUGUUAGAAUUUGGGCCGUAACAGGGUUGCAAUAAUCCGCGGUUUUGCACCCACAAAGACAAAAUAGAUUUUAUGAGGUUUUUGCUGUAUUGGUCAGGUUUUGGACAGUGCUCGUCUUCAUUUCGUUGAUUUGGUUUUUCUUACAUCCGAUCAGUUAUUUUCAUGAACCAUGACUCUGCUAACAGUUACUUACGCCAAUUCUGUAGAAGAUUUACAAAGCGAAAGGAGAUGAGGCUUGAGAGAGUUGUGCAUAUUCAGAGUAAUACCAAUAAAUACAGGGUUUAGCAAUCGCGAAGAUAUCGAUAGGCCAGUGCAUGAUCCUGAAUUUAACCUACGUCCCGCUGCAUUACUAAUUAAUUCAAUGGCAUUUCCUUACGUUUUAAGUCUGUGUUUUAUCAGGAGAGUGCAACUCUCGGCGGUGUUGGCAGAGGGCUAUGGGCUGUUCGUCGCGCGUUCCUGAUUUGAAGGGGCGGACAACACCUCCUUUGGUACAUAACUCAGCCAGCUGCGGUGUUCUUUGGAAUGGGAAGAUGGUCGCUGGAGGGUCAGGAGAUGCUAGGGCUACGUCGGCGGACUGUCAUCAUCUUAGUAUUCUUUUUUCUCAGCCUUCAAGUCGUAGCUCAAGCUCCGAGCCUGACACCUACCGAUUGCCCUCUUAAUUUAGAUAUUCUAGAUGUUUUUCCCUCGGUGGCGGAGCAAGUGCGAGCAGUGGAUUCUCUGGAGAAGAGGUGCCUGACCCUCACUCAUGGCGUGGAUGUCCUGCUCUCCGUGUACCUCAAGAAUGAAGAUUACUUUCUCGUGCCACCAGAGGCUGCCUCCUCAUGCAUUCAAGCUUUAAAUUCAUAUUUUCAGGUGCCCAACAUCACGGGUCUGUGCGGGUUGACCCCAGCGUUCAUCUCUCGCGGUACAAACAACUGUCAGGCCAUUCAAACACGGGAGGACUUCAUCUCCGCUGCUAAAAAUAGAGAUUCAAUCCUAGCUACUUGUAAAAAUGGAGUGCUUGCGAAUGGAAACACCAAGUCUGCGGGAUGUGCCGCUUGCACGAAAUCAUUGACUCAAGUGGCAAACUCGUUGCGGAGCUCUGGCAAUUCCAACGACAACCUGUGCUUGGAUUAUACCUCUAUGUACACGGGGGCCUUUGUUGUGAACGCAGGGCCCUCGGAUGUAACCACGUUGGUUUGUUUGUGGGACAUCAUAGGAGACGAUGAUGACAAGAAGAAGUUGCAGUGGUGGGUUUAUCUCGUCAUCAGUGGAGGGGCUAUCCUGUUCGCUUUCUCAUGCGCUUGGAUUGGUUUUCUCCUCCUUCGUCGAUGGAGGAGAAAGCAUCGUCAGUCUAAUGUCGGCAAUGAGUUUGCGAGGGUGGCAAAAAGCAUGUUGCACGGUUCCAUGAAGGAGAUUGGCGGGGGUUUGACGUGGUACGACAUUGAGGAGCUCCGAGCUGCGACUCACAACUUUGACGUGAAGAGGAUCAUCGGGCAAGGCGGAUUCGGGAAUGUGUACAGAGGGGUUCUCCUUGACGGUAGCGAGGUCGCAUGUAAGAGGUUCAAGGAUUGUACAGCAGCAGGGGACACCAGUUUCCUGCACGAAGUGCAAGCGCUCGCGAGCGUGCGUCACAAGAACCUUGUGGCGCUACGCGGGUGUUGCAUUGCGAGCCUCGGGGAGGGCCGCCUCGCAGGCUACCAGCGCAUCAUCGUGCUGGACUACGUAAAGAACGGCACUUUGCAAGAUCAUUUGUUCGGCAACAUCCACAAAGGCGAUGGUAAGAAAAGCUCCUCCCAACCGACUUUGUCGUGGCCACAGCGGCUCAAGAUCGCCACAGACGCAGGUCGCGGUGUUCAGUAUCUUCACGCGGGCGCGCAGACACAGAUACUACACCGCGACAUUAAGCCCAGCAACAUCUUGUUGGACUCCGACUUCAACGCCAUGGUCGCAGAUUUCGGCCUGGUCAAAUUCACCCCCAAUGGAGUCUCCCAUAUGACGACUGGCGUGGCAGGCUCGUUUGGCUACAUCGCCCCGGAGUAUGCCAUGUACAGUCAGCUGACGGAGAAGAGUGACGUCUACAGCUUCGGCAUCGUGAUGCUGGAGAUCAUCAGCGGCCGGAAAGCUAUGGUUCCAGACCCAAUAACUUCCGAGCUCCUGAUCGACUGGGCAUGGCGGUUGUUUAAAGAGGGCGACUGGGACUUGAUUCUGGACCCACGACUCACGGAGCGCGGCCCUGACGAGGACCUUAAAAGAUUCGCCAUGGUUGCGUUGUUGUGUGCGCAUCCCCAAGUGUUCUACCGCCCCACCAUGACAAUGGUGCUUCGAAUGCUUGAAGGCGCACAACAUGUGCCGGCCCUGCCAGAUCGCCCCAUCCCCGUGACCCUCAGCAAGGCUGCCUUGCAAGCUUCUCUUGCACCUUCUAACAUCGGGUCUGGCAGCUAUUCAUCUAACUUCAGUUCGGCAACUCAAGACUCCAUGAGGCAGCCUGUAAAGUAGGUACUAUUUUGGUAGAUUGUGGAGAUAGCAAAUUUGGCACUUUGAGAGCAUGUUUACGAUGUAUUCAAAUCACUUUCAUGAGUUUUCGAGUUUAGAUCAUAUGGGUCAUCGCAGGAGCAAGAUGUCCUUUGUAUAAUCACCUUUGUAUAAUCAUCAUCGCUUGUUGCACAAUCGUUGCAAUUCAAAGCCUUUCAUGGACACUGCAAUCUGUGUCUUUCUUGACGAUGACAGUCUUGGACCGAUGUCCUUUGAAUUUCCACUUAUCGGGCUCGGCCCGAACAUGCUUGUGUUGUGGGUUUUCUGUUCUUCAAAUGCCUGAACAUGUUCAAAACUCAUGUACCACAGUACAUGAAAGGGGGGGAGGGGACUAAAUUGUUUUCUAUUAGUCUUGUUUUUGUGGCGUGGUAUCAAAGUAGGGGAAAUAUGUGUCUUUGAGCACACAAGUAGUUCUUUUUUUACUUCAAUUUAUCUCUCGUUUUGGAGAGAUAUCUUUCUUUGACUUCACGUAAUAUUAUUCUGCUUUGGAGACAUCUUUUGUGAAAAGAAAUUAACAUUCUAGUUAAAAUUGAAACAAAAUUUUGACCAGUGUUAGAACUUGUUUAUGUCCUUUCUUAGACUCCAAUUUUCUUUUGCAUAUAACCAUUCAUUCACAAUUUUAGAAUAUUUGGGAACCCGCAAAUGUUUUUCAAACCCAAAUUUUACUAUCAAAGUUCAUCACAGUAGUGUUUUUGAGUUUACAUUCAAUUGACAUUCCGAUUGGCUGCUGAAUACACAAAUCUUACUGAGAAAGUCAUAUCCAUUCUCACUUGAACAUAACUAUACUUUUCAGCGUUAUACCUGGACAAACUUACAAGAUAUUAAUGUUCGUUUUAAUGUCUGAACCAUAUAAGCUUUCGAAUAUUUGAAACAAGAAGCAUUUUAUUUGCCUCCUAUAUCAUCCAAGUCAGAGAAUGAUCUUGAACAGAAUUCCAGCAAUUUGAACUAAAGAUUUAUACAUGGAUUUAGUAAAAUUGUUGGUAACCAGGUUUCUCUAGUAUCCGAAUCUCUAAGUGAUUGAAAGAGGCACCUCCUUCAAAACUGAAUUCGAAAAAGAGAUACCACUGGAAAUAAGUAAGGCAUAAUUUGAUUCUUUCCUGCUAUUAUUUUCGACACGAAGUCAAAUGGAGAGAAGACUAACAAUAUAACAAGUAAUAAUAAAACAAUAAGAAUAACAAGUAACUGCAUCUUUGUCUGCUGUACAUAUAUCUAUUUGAAGGGCACAUCAGAGCACUUGCAAGCUCUCGGAAACGAUUCCAGUGAACCCUGAGAUAAUUUAUAAAUAUUCUACAAAUAUUCCAGCUGUGGGGUAAGGUAGAGGGUUGAGGCAAAACUAAACAGAUCAGGUUACGCUUAUCAGUCAAUAUGUGUGUUCUUCUUGCCAACAAAUAAACGAGAGAUCUGGAGGCCUCGGCUGAAAGCCUCAUUGUAAAGGAUGCGGGUCUGCAUUGCCUGGAAUCCAGGCAACCAGGAAAGAAAAGCAACAGGAGCCAUUAUAAUCAUGCCCAUUCCUAGAUCAUAUAGGCGUGCAACAGCAGUGAUAGUUCCCCAUACUUUUGAAUUUUCCAAAAACGGACGCCGCAACACGAGACAGAUCUGGAGGAUGCCCCAGCCUGUGGGCAAGAAAGCAAGAAAACUUGCAAGAAUGUCGAGGAAUGUGAAAUUAGUCCGAGUUGCGAGCACAAUCACAAUAGCCGCAACGACGGCUAUCGUCACAGUUUGAAUUAAACGGUAACGACCGUGCUUGUUGGCGGCAUAUCGAUCGCUUGCAUUCGAGAUAACGAGGUGGAGCAAGAUAGCAGCGAGCAUGUAACUCCAAGACAAGAGAUAGACGAAGACACUUGUACUGUUGCCUGUGAUCUGCAGAUGAUAAACAAUGCCGUACUGGAAAAGGAAGAGCCGCAAAUCCAGUACAAUAUCCAGCAAUUUACCCCACAAUCCGGUAGUUUUCAAAUGCGUCUGUUCGCCCUCCCACCAUAUUUCCCAACUUUGCUCCGGUUUAACAAAGAUGUCUCCUUUGAACCAUAUCCACUGCAAGAAUUCAUCAAAAUCUUCCACUGUCUUCAGCCAAUCGAACCCCGAAGGAUUGAAAAUGAAAGGCGCCAUUAUCCACGUGAAAGCCAGAAACCAGCUAGAUAUCAUGACCAACAUGUAAGUGGCAGACGAACUGACGACCCCAUACGCCAGAUAGCAGAAUAGAAGCAUCAGAAGCUCAAUGCCUUUGGUGAAGUGGCUCCUUGAAUACAGCCGGUAAAUCUCAGCAAACUUUUCGUGCUUAACCACGAAUGUACGACCGGUUGCCCUAUACUGCAAGCACAGACGAGGAGAAAUAAUGAAUCAUAUUCCAUGGAAACUUGUUGUCAUCAUUAUUAAUAAAAAAAGCAUCAACACAUCAGGAGUAGAUGCGCAUUUUUUUCCUUUUCACUCUGGAAUUGAAGAUCUUUGAAUGUGAGACAUUAAAGGAAAUGAGAGUUGAGUCCAAAUACUGCUAGCAACGGAUAGACAUGCAAUGACAAACUCUAAAAACGUCUUCACUAAAUAUUUUAGAGUUUCUUAUUUCAGAUGAUCCUAAGUCAUCAUCCAUAUCUCUACCGACUAGAAUACUUUCAUGUUGUUCCGUUAGUUAUGUGUAUGCUCACUGUAGUGUUUGAUUCUCGACCCCACCUAUGGUUGAAAACAUACUUCGUAAAGUUUGACUAGCGAAAUAAUAAAAUUAACGACCAAACUUCAUUUAGACAUAAGAUUAAAAGCAGAACACAAAUAGAAGGAAUUCAGGCAUACCUUAGCACCACCAUGCAGAAGUGUGCGUCCAAAAUAGUGACUCCGUGUUCCCAUCUCGAAGGUAAAGAAUAGGGAAGCCAACUGAAGUUGCAUUGUAAUCAUAUUCCACAAAGCUGUAGUGAAUCCGUGCUCUAAAGCAUAUUCCACAAGCAUGGGUAGAGCAGUCAGCAAACCCAACUGGACAACAAGCUGCUGGUUUAAAGUGGCUGUCAGUGCCGCAUUCGAGAGAGCGUUCGAUCCAGUUGUUAAUGAUUUUUCUAUGCCACUCAAGGCCAAGUACACACGGCCCCAAAGAAAGACAAAAACAGUCAAUACAAUUAUCAAGUUGUUCACAAAAAACCCAACCGUGGUGUAGUAGAAAGAAAACAUUCGAAAGAAAUCUAGAUGAUGACCAAGACGGUAAACAUCACGGCUCAGCAUCUGCUCCCCGUUCCCGCUGGCCACUUUGGCUUCGAACAUGGCAAUCUGAUUCAAUCCAACGUCCCGACCCUUACCAGCCUGCACAAAUAUCAGCAAGAUGCGAAGGUUGGAAUUAUGUGCUCAUAUGCAACUAAAUCCGAUUCAAAUGCCCAUUCAGAACUUCAAGAUCAUCAUUUGAAGCUAACAAAAUUCCCACUACCACUGUCAUGGGUACGAUGAUCCUUCAGCCAUAUCUUGGACUUGAACUACUAAGAGGCAAGAAUGCCCAAAUAACUUUGCUGCUACAGUACUAAGAGCACCAGUCAGACCAUAAGCCUAGACGUUCCUAAAAGGAAGACAUAUUAUAAAUGUAUUCUACUUAGACAUGAACCAGAACCCUGAAACCUAAAGCCUGGCACACAGUUACAACCAUCCAAACCUUCGGCGUGAUAAAUUAGAUGGUUCGACAUCGACAUUACCUGAAUAUACUCGUGAUGAGUGACGGUACCACCACGAAGAGUACAAUUGAAGCCUGCGAAGAUGUCCUCACUGAUAUUGAUCGAUCGGGAUGCCUUGCUGAUCCCACCUCGGCCCAAGAACCACAGUCGAUCAAAUACAUCAGGAUGUCCAUAAUGCAUCCGGAUUUUGAGAGGAUUUGCAUAAACGCGUUGGUUGAGGGUGACAAAUACUGUUUCUUGAGCAGACAUGAACCAUGCUAAGGAUGAAACGGAUCCCGUGAAGACAUGCUCUCUUACACCUAAAAUCGUGGGCUUUCGGAUUCCACGAAAGCGAUUAAACUCUUCAAGUAGGUUUCUCAUCUUCAUGGCUUCCUCAAAGUACAUUUCCUGCAAACAGCUUGGAAAAUCAUUCUCGUAUCUUUAUUCAGAAAGUGGUUCCUUCCUAUUGACAAUGACCAGACUUCCAUAUCAUUGACAUGGAGGACAAAAUCUCCUAAAAGAUACUUGAGCUCUGAACUAUAAUAAAUAAGUAAAGGGUAACCAGGAAAACGAGGGCAUUUCUUGAGCGAUAAAUAUUCCUACAUGAUAUGCCGUUGGCAAUCAACGUCCACCUGAAUAUCUCCCUCGAAAGUAUUCUGAAGUACUUGUGCAAUGUACCCUGAAACUUUCAUGUCAAAGAUGCAAGUGAAAAGAGCAUUUGAUGAGAUUAAUUCUUCAAGAUUAUAUGCUGCAGUUCCUCAUGUAGAAAAGUGGCAUACCUGGUUCAUAUCUAUCGUUUGCACUCCAUCACCUCUUGUGAAAAUCAGGGCAUGAUUCUGAUUUUCAGGUUUCCCUUCUCCCAGCUUCAGUGGUCCAGGUAACUGUAUCCUGUAGAUUUCUACCUCUCUUUUCAGAACUUUGUCAUACUUGACAAGAACAGAAUAGUACUUGUUGCCCUUUUCCUCCUUAAUUUCAUCCACGUAAGCAAUUCGUAGGCCCGUGUGGUACGUUUUCAUGAGACGUAAUAUAUCCGCUGCCUUAUAGUCAUUGGUUUUUUUCUGAUUUCCGUAAAUUUGACAGGUCACAACGUAUGUGAACUUCAUACCAGCGGCUGCAAGAUUUUGUAGCUGCUUGUUUUUUCGAUUUUCGCGUUCUUCAUAUGCAUGCUCAGAACGAAAAGAUCCCCUUCUAUUCGGACUACUGCCUGCGUCCAAAAGUUCUUUGAUUCCCUGCAUUUCAGUAUCCGUGGCUGUGUCUAAAAAGGCCUGUACUUGAAGUGCCCUGCAGAGAAAGCGGAAUUUGUGGUUCAACUGACAUUGACAAAGUCCAAAUAGUGGUAGUAUAACAAACAGAAACCGAAGACUGGAAGACCCGAGACAAAGAUAGUUCGUAAAUGGCUGCGGACUACGACCUGCAGUGUAUAAAUCUUGGUUCAGGAGAACCUAUGAUUGAAUGUUAUCAAAGAAGUAAUGAAAUUUAAGGAUGGUGAAAAAGCCGCACCGUUCAUAAUACAUCAUUCCCCGCACGGUACGUGCAAGCGUCUGCCCUCUAUAAGAAGCCCAAAGACGUAGUUCGAUAGCAUCAUCCGUAUCCCAUAAAUUAAGCUCUAACAAGCCCUUUUUCUUCAUGCGCUCCAGAAAGUUCAACCAAUCCUCUGAAAACCAGCAUGCAAAAGUAGUCACAGAUCUUCAUCUAGACAGUUUACAAGUCGAAUGUUCAUUGAGAUAGAUACAAAUAUCCAUACGAUCGAAGAAUUUGAUGUUUGCCCCUAGUUGGAAAUCGAAAGAGUAAAUCUUUGUAAUUUAUUACUAUGUUUCACACCAGAUCAUCUUUUACAUUUCGGCCUAUUCUAUACUCGAAUAAAAAACUCGAUUUUUCCAUCAGAGAAAUAGUGGUAAAGAUUCUUCAAUAUAGCACAUUGAAACUGUGCUAGUUGACACGUUAAAAGUAGUUAGAUACCUGGGAAAAUCCUUUGCAGGUAAAAUAAAAUCGUUAUACCAUCCUCAUUCUCUUCUUUCAACUGCUUUGAACUGAAGAUAACUUCCUCAGUGUAGUAAGGUGUCAAAACGCUGAACGCCAACAUUCGAUCCACCUACACAAGGUAGCAUAAAACAUUCAUAGCAUGUGAGUAGAGGAAGACAUCCCAGCAAGAAAGAUGUGAACAUGAGUUUUGCUUGAAAUACAUUCUGCAAAUAAGUUCAAAUUAACAGAGACUGCGAUUGGAUUCAAUUUUUCAGCUGAGCGCAAAGGGCUCAAGUAAAGACCUCAAACUCUAUCUGACCUCAGAUCUUAUGAGAAAGAUCCACUACGUCAUCGAUAAAUACACAUUGGCACCUAAGAUGAAAAGCGCACUGACAGUGAAUGUGACAUUCGGGAGACUAAAGACGAAAGAGAGACUAUUGACAUUGAAAAUAACCUGUGGCGCUCGCGGCAUGGUCAUGAAGAGGGAAUUGCUGAAGAAAGAUAUGCGUCGCCGAGCCUCUAAUCCCUUGGGCACGUUAAGAAAAGGUUCCCUCGUGCUCAAUGUUGUGUGUAUUCUCGACAGGUGCUUGAAAAACGGCGCAUCGUCAUCACUUGGAAGUGUCACAGCGUUCAUAAAAAGCUCCGUGUCUUUGUUGGUUGCAGUAGAUAAAUGUUGCCCUCUAAUGAUCUCCUUCACACUAGAGUCCCUUAUAAAGUCCUCCACUACGUCCUCGUACAAGUUUUGUAAGGCAUCCACAACCUAGAAAGUCAUGAAAUUCGGUCAAGGAAAGAAAAGCUACUCUUUAAGAUUGGCACUCUGUGAGGAUAAUGAAAACAUGAUGGCAUAGGUACAGCUUCAGUUUCUGACAGUUGCUCUUAAGAGAAUGACAAGCGUUUAAAAGUAAUAUGUAUCAACACUUGAUUUCUCUAACACCAGACACGGGCUAAGGUGCUCAACCAUAUUUCAAUAGGUGAUCAAUAAGUUGAUAAUUAAGCUUGCAGGGUAUAAUAGGCAGAAAAAUCAUAAUUAGGGAUUCCAUUUUAAGCAGCAUUCGUGCCAGUAAAGAGUGUACCUUACGAAUAUUCCCUCCAGUUGGCUUAGUCAUUAGUACUGCAAUCAGCUUCACUACCCGGUCAUGGACGAUUAAGAUUUUCUGGAGAACAAAAGAAGUUGUAAAUCUGUCAUGAGCUAUGGAUGCAUCUAUCUCUUUGAAAACGCUUUCGAUAAUCUUGUGCUCCUGUGAGUCAACCUUGAGAAGCCUACGUAAUAGUAUAUGCUUGAUGCUUUCAUAGCACUCUGUGACUGCACAUCUUCGAUACUCAUGCUUACUAAUUAUACCCCAUAGCUUUGUAUCAUCUCCCUUGAAGUACUGGACUUCAUUAGUUAAAACUUGGAGGAUCUGCAAGAAAGGUUAUGACGUUAUGAGAUGUUGAAUUCCAUUUGCUCAAUCAUAAAAUACUCAUACUGAGACAGGUCCUGAGGCUGAGGUUUGCCUUCUGAAACUGCUCAAGGAAAAUUCAAGCAAAAUCUAGAAUUUAGAGGACAAGAAUUUCCACCCGCUAAAUACAAGUGGUCAAUAACAGCUUAGUGCAGAAUUGAUUUAAAAAAAAUCGAGGUUACAAUCUUAAGCCAGCAGGUUAAAUGGAGUAGUGAUUAUUUCUAUAAUAAAUCAUUCAGACAUGUACAUAUAGCUGUAUACUACAAAACUCAAGCAAUAGAAUCAGCUAGUAGAAUAUCAUGAUGCAAACCUGAUUAGCUAACAGAGCAGAAGGCCACAAGAAAACUGAUAGCCUCCAAGCUCCGGACGGAAUUUCUAAAAGCUCCAGUUCCCUGCAUUCACUCUCAUAAUAUAAGGAAAAAUCAAGUGUGAUCGAAAGCAUCAUCAUUAACUUUCAAUAAUUUCAUAAAAGUCCUUAUACAUUUAGUACAUCAUCAAGUAGCAUAAUAGAUUCCGAUCGUGGUUACACUUAAGUAUACAAUGGUAUUACGCAGAAUCAUUCAAUUAUAGAAACUGCCUUUAAUUCAGACUGAAGCAGAAAUUAAAAAAAUUCAAUGUAUUCCAUUAAGAACGGGUGAUUCUGGUAAGAAAUUUUCAAAUGUAGGAAAAGAGACACAACCUGUCACUAAUGAGGUCCUCAUCACGAAAAGUAUUCACGAUUAAGUUCCAUACAUGAGCAAAUUGAACCCCUUCGCGUUGACCCCAUUCCACCUGUCAGGUGGGAGAAACAUCAACAUAUUACUCAUUAAGAAUUUUCUGCAAGGAACACUACGAUUUCAUCUACCUAUUGCAACGCUGACAUUCGCAAGAAAGAUAAGCUAGAAUCGGCAAAUACAUACCUUUUCAUGUAUAGCAGACCAUCCAUAUCUAAGCCUAAAUCGCUCGACCAGGUCCUUGGCAUUUUCCCACAAACUGUUUCAACGAAGGUAUAAACAUCAGCACUUUUCCACUCACACUCGAAGGCCAAAUUAAUCUAAGAAACAGUGCUAGCAUGGACUUGGAUCUUGAUCCAUGUACAUGAAUUGAGUUAUUUCUCAAUGAUCUUCAUGAUAGACUUUGACCGACGACGAUAUACUACUUCACUCACUAAAAACAGCACAAAACAAGACAUCAGAGCAUAAGUCAACCAGAGAAGUUCAGAAACCAGCAAUUAGACACUUUACAUGCAGGUUUUCAGCUUCCUCCAAAUGUAUCGAAGUGACACGAAACCAUCAAUAGACACCAUCACGUUAACAAGAAAUUUUUCAUACAAGUGAUAACCAAAAGGUUGUCCUGAAUGAACCGGUUUCACAAUCAAUUAUGCGAUGAGGAAGGGCCUUACGUUGUGUGUUGCAGUUGUUUCGGUGGCAUGAGAUUGAAUUCGAAUGCAGAUGGAAAAAUCUUGAAUCGCAACCUCAGUUGAUGAACGUUACGAAUCUGAUCAAUCAAAAGACCAAAUUUACUGCCACAUGUCUCGUGCUGAAGCACACAUCUUCGUUGAAAUUUAUUUACAUUUAAACUGUUCGUGUAAAGUUCUGUAUUCCAAAGUUCCCAAGAAUUGUAGACCACGGCCAUGUUUUGAGCGUUUGUCAAAUUCAGGACCCAACGACCGACUCAUUACUUGAACUUCAUGAAUGAAAUUCAGUCAAUUUCUUUGGUAAUGAUAAGGCUGAAAAUGAAAAUUACUUCUCCGAGAUGUUGAAGAAGACCUACAAAAGCCCCAACGCCAGACGACCAUAUGGAAUACCAGAUUUGAACGUCCAUAAAGUAAAUCUUUUCCAAUACAUCCAAAUCACAACUUCAGUAAAUCAAAAGACCAAAGCAGCUUUUCUAAGAUAUCACCUGCAAUCGAGUUCCAAAACUGCCACUGUGUGUAUAUGACAUUAAAAUGAAAAGGAAGUAAUCUUCUCGAGAAAACCUCACGGCCAUUGUACAGGAUGACAGUGUUUGACUUUAAAAUGAGAUUAGAUUUCAGUUCACAUCAACUCACCAGAAGUACUGGGGCCCAUAAUACAACUAUCGCUGCUCGACUACCUGCAAAUUGAUAUUCAUUUAUAAGUUAAAUCUAUUUUUAAUAUAUAUACAUUCACAAACACACACACACACACACAACUCUGCAAAAUGCAACAUCCGACAUAAGAACAGCCAAUUGAGGUUGAUAAAAAUGAUGCAUCAGCAUUAAACUCCAUUGAAACUCAAAUCCAUGAAAGGUAUUACUCCGCUCUUCUGGAAGAUGAACGAUGGAAAAAAGAAGAUCACAAUAAAGCUGAUAUAUACCAUUUGGGAAAAAUUCGUGCCACUUAUAUGUGAUAUUUUUGGUCCGGAGGAUUUGCUUGGUUGGUGCAAUUAAAGGCCUGAUCUGUACACCGCCUCAGGGGGAUGAUAGAAGUGAGAUUAUGAAUGAAAAGAAAAGGAUCUCACAAAUAGAUUACUCAAAACACAUUGACUGUACUUUCAUAACAAUAGUAUACCAAGUACAAUUACUGCAGUACAUCAACCUUCGAUAGAAAAACAGGGCUAAUGUCAGCAAACCCAAAAAUACCUGAAGCCAAUAGCUGAAAGCACAUUUAGAUGCCAGGACAGAGAGCCAAAACAAAGCAUAUCUGGCACCAAUCAAUAAUCAUGUUAGAAGUAUGAUCUACAUUGAAUCUGACAAUGACUGCUGUAGAUAGAAAGUACCAGAAGUGGCCGAUGACUAGAGCUUCUGCUGGAGAACGUAUGUCUGUGCAAAUUUAAGAAUUGAUCUUCAAAUAUCAGGACUGCAGGGUUUUCUCCUCACACGGUACAUUGAGUAAAUUGUAGAGAUCACAAAUUAGAAGCAAUGUGCGGAUGUAACUUCAUAGUGUGUAGAUACUCACUUCAAAUUAUCCAUCACUCCUUCACGAAGACCUCGGCCAACAAACUGACGAGUCUGCUCACACAACAACGAAAAAUGUGAAGAUUUUCCAACCUUCUCGAUCUACUGAGAGAAUCUUGGGAGAUCAAGUCUUCGAAAUUCAUUGGGAAGCCGAGUUCACUCACAAUUGUACCAUCCAUUGAUUAUGAUAAAAUGAAUUACCCCGGCUUGUAUGACUAUUAGGUCAAAACCUGCGACUAAUUCGAACAAAAACACUACAUUUGAAACUUUCAGCCACUCAUCUUAUAUCAAUUAGGACAUUUUUCAAUUUGGACGUAAACAGCAAGACAUACCAAGGGACAGCAAAUCCAGGUAUGAUGACUGCAAUGGCAUGCACGUACCUGAAACCACCAAGUCAGAGCAUGAAAAAUCCUCCAGUUUGAGUUCUCGACAAAAUUGCGAAGCCAGGGCAAAAUGAAGAGCACAAGAGCUAGAACCUCUGGAACAAUGAAGGCUGCAGCUAUGUAUAAGUAUUCAUGCAGUCUAUCAUUGGCAUAACCCGACCAAUACUGAUCGAUGUUUCUUUGCCACCACAUCCUUCUGCUCACACAAACAGAAUUAUAUGAGUAAAUCAUAUGUAAACGUGGGUCAUAUAUCAUACUGUCAAAUAACAAAGACACAGAACAUCAACGAAACCAUGUAUUCACCAAGAUCAUUUAAUCAACCAGAAAAUGGAAAAACGGCUUGUGAUGUGUAUUUACUAACAAGGUCAAAUCAAACUUGAUAUCAUAAUCGUUAAAAUGUAGGAUAGCCUCCAAUUCUAUACAAAACUGAAAAAGGCUACUACGGACCUGUAGUAAAUAAUGAAAAGGAUUGCCCAAACAGCGGCCACCAAUGGCUUUAGGAUCAUACGAAUUCCAGUGAAAACUGUUUCUUUGGAUACAAGACUGUAUUGGCUCCCAAUAUCAAGUAAACCUGCACAAGAUAUUACAAUAAAGUAGACAAGGACAAAUUCCGUGUGAAUUCAACUGUCUUGUUAUCAAUUCCCAUGACAUGGGGUGGCCUCUACAUCAACACUACAAUUGAAAAAGAAAAUAAAAAGAUCGUGGAAUACUAGAAAUACUGUUAGGAAGUAAAAACGAACCCAUAUUUUUUGAAAAAAAAUAAAGGUAGGUACAAUUAUAAUAAUAUAAUUAAUAUCAAUAAAACAAAACAAAACAAAAAGCAUACAGAAAGACACAGAUGACAACCUGUACCAAAUGCCAAUCUAUCGAACUGCGCAGUUGGACAAGCACAAAGUCACGUACCUUGUAGAACUCGCAACAAUGACCAGGUGAUAAAAAUGCUCAGAAAACGUGCCAAAGGAUCCGGCUUUUGCAAUUCAAUCCAGGGUGGACCGCCGUUGUGCCACAAUGUUACAACGGACGCCUGAUAGUAAUAGAGAACAAGAGUCUUAAUUACAUCAUAUUCACCUGUCUUUUGACAGUUUAACCAUGAGUGAAGAUAAAUCGGUACAUCAGGAGCUACAUUUCACAUAAGAUUUCGUAGAAAUGAGGACGCAAGCUGCAUGUUAAUUUCUACAACAAUAUUUCCAUAGUGUAGUCUGCGACACAUAUAACAGAGCGCCAAACGGUCUACAAUCAAGCGAUUAUGUCAAAAACAUGGGCAUGGUCACUUCGGGUUUCUAUGCAUCACUCCGGUGAUAUGGUUCUGAAAUCGCAAUCGUGGCAUGAGAAAGCAAGUCUGUACCCAGGACAUACCUGAAGGACCAGAAUAUGCGCUACCCAUAUGCGAUCAAAGCUGCGAAAGAUGUACCAAAAUGAGCGUUGUUCAACGAAACCAGUCUUCCCCACCUUGUGAUCUUGGUCUUUUGUCCCGCGAUUCUAGAACAACAUUCUCUCCUUUUAGAUCGUAUCUUUGACAAAAAAACUUUCUAGAAUGUAAUUAUUUAGAUACAGGAAAACCAGAUUCCAUACACCACAUCAGAAAUAAGUUCAACUUCCCCAAGCUGAGCCCGUCAAAUUUUAGGAUUCAAUUUUAAAACCAAAUUCAGAGUGUAACCAGAGAUAGACCAGUGAAAACAAGAUACCUUGAAAUUGGAUCCCAAUUACUUAAAGUAGUACAAGUGAAGAAAUAAUUACAAUACACCAGUAAAAUAUGCCGCGGCCCACUUAAACGAAAAACUAACAUUCUCUUCACAAUAGAAUCAGGUUAACUUAAGUCAGCCUUUUACACCAGAACGUGCAAAUUGUAGGCAAGGUACAGGGCAGGAGACUUACAAGAUACCCUCGUUCUCUUAAUGGCUUUAUGAGAUAGCUGCAACUUUCAUAAUUGACACGUUGGUUGUAAGGAAUAUCUUCGUUCAUUUUUGGGUUUAACGAGAAUGGCCAUCGCAGUUGCUCAAAACAACGAGAGCUCCUACAUGCAAUUUCGUGAGCAUGAGAACCUUUACAUGUUCUUCCAAGAAACCCAAACAAAGUCAUGUCCUGGAUUUUAAGAAGCAUUAUUGACCAUGCUGUUACCCAUCCUAUUUGUAACAGCUGGUAUGAUCUUAGUAACUAGCAAUACAUUCCAUUUCGCAGCGUUAGAAUUUACCAAAAAUAUUCAUUCAUGUCAUCAUAGUUCCUCCAUGAUGAGUGAGGAGCUGCACCACCAUUAUUAGAAUCUGCCUCCUGCAUAAACACAGAAAACUCUAGCUACAGGUUCAGCAACACAUUCAACCCAAUAUCCAACAAAAUUCAUUUCCUGACAAUAAUAUUAUCUUUCCUUAAGAGACUGGCCGCCGUGGCAAGACCUAGAUGAGCUCUAGCCACGCUUUCUUAGUCUUACAGAGUGGAGACGGAACCUCGACACAUGACAUCCUGAUAUUCAUCAUCAUAAAUUUCACCUUAGUAUACUGAUCAAGAAAUAAAAAAUAUACGACGAAAUUCCUUGUGCAAGGAUACUUCACACGAAUACAUCAACCUUGGCAACCAUAAAGUAAGCACGGCAUACCAGAAACACAAAG